GGAGCGCGCAGACCGGAUCACACGAUGACCGGUGAAGGGAUGCGGCGGCCCGACAGCGAGCUGGUCUGGGCUCGGGGAGGGUCCGCGGCCCCGGCGACCCUGGCUGGGGCCGGUCCUGUCACCCUACGUCCCAGGGCCGAGCACGGACUGAGACGCAGAACAUUGCUGGAGAGGACACCGCUGCGGGUCAGCGCGGUUAUGGAAGGCGUCGUGGUUGGAGGAGGUGGUUGGCGAGCCGUGAAAUUGGGGUAACUUUGAGGAAAGGAAGAGAUCAUUUCCUAACCUGAGCCGAAGUGCAAAAACACAUGGUCGAGACACCCCGGCUGCUGAGAGUGCAGAAGACCAAUCUAAAUGCAAUGUAGUAUUUUAAUGCACGUGCAAGGAAAGCCAGAGGAGAGGAUCUUAAAACCCACCGGGACGCAAGGAGACUUCAAGCUUGCAGGUUAUCCAGUCAAGGACCGGAGUGGCGAGGCAAUGGCUGAAAGAUGAGCCUACAGUUCCCUCAAGCAUGAACCAGGAAGGGGUGCAAUCUACAUGGGGCAGAAGUGUUUUGUAAAUUCCUCUGAAGUCCAGAUUGAAGUUUUUGGUAACUCAUCUGCAUUGUGUGCUUAGAGUGAAGGCUGAGGCUGUAACUAUCUCAGCAAUAUGAGUCAGGCAGGCUGAAUGCAGUGUAAGCAGAAGGUUUCGGCAUCUUUCGCUUUUACGUUCUCUCUCACCCCCUCCCCAAAGACUCUAGAGGAAGGUUGUUAUGGGUUGAAUUGUGUUCCUCCAAAAAAGAUAUGUUGAAAUCCUAACUCCUGGUAUCUCAGAAUGUGACCUUAUUUGGAAACAGAGUGGUCGCAGAUAUAGUAAAUUAAAGUAAGAUGAAGCCAUAUUGGAGUAGGAGUAGGGUAUCAAUUUUUUAAAAAUAUUUAUUUUUGAGAGAGAGAGAGCGCACGAGCAGGGGAGGGGCAGAGAGAGAGGGAGACACAGAAUCCGAAGCAGGCUCCAGACUCUGAGCUCUCAGCCCAGAGCCGACACGGGGCUUGAACUCAUCAACCCUGAGAUCGUGACCUGAGCUGAAACCCAAGAGUUGGAUGCUUAACCAACUCAGCCACCCAGGUGUCCCUAUCUGAUUUAUAAUAGAAGACAUGAAAACUAAAAUGACAAGCAGAUACCAUGAUUCUCCUCAAUCAUUUGAAUAAAGAUCAAAAAGUUUUACUGCAUUGCCUUGAUGAGGGUGAGGUGUCCACAUGUUGGUGAAAAAUGUCAAUUGCUGCACGAAAGCACUUGCUAUAUCUAUUAACAAUGUAAAUACAUAUAUCCUUUGAUCGCACAAUGUCACUUCCAGGAUUUUUAAAAAUAGACUAUUUUUCAGAGCAGUUUUAGGUUCACAACAAAAUUGAAAGGAAGAUACAGAAUUUCCCACCUGCCCCGUGC